UCAGUGAAAUUGAACUCGCUGUGAAGAUGCAGUGUACCCGCGGCAAGACGGAAAGACCCCGUGAACCUUUACUAUAGCUUGACACUGAACAUUGAGCCUUGAUGUGUAGGAUAGGUGGGAGGCUUUGAAGUGUGGACGCCAGUCUGCAUGGAGCCGACCUUGAAAUACCACCCUUUAAUGUUUGAUGUUCUAACGUGGACCCGUGAUCCGGGUUGCGGACAGUGUCUGGUGGGUAGUUUGACUGGGGCGGUCUCCUCCUAAAGAGUAACGGAGGAGCACGAAGGUUGGCUAAUCCUGGUCGGACAUCAGGAGGUUAGUGCAAUGGCAUAAGCCAGCUUGACUGCGAGCGUGACGGCGCGAGCAGGUGCGAAAGCAGGUCAUAGUGAUCCGGUGGUUCUGAAUGGAAGGGCCAUCGCUCAACGGAUAAAAGGUACUCCGGGGAUAACAGGCUGAUACCGCCCAAGAGUUCAUAUCGACGGCGGUGUUUGGCACCUCGAUGUCGGCUCAUCACAUCCUGGGGCUGAAGUAGGUCCCAAGGGUAUGGCUGUUCGCCAUUUAAAGUGGUACGCGAGCUGGGUUUAGAACGUCGUGAGACAGUUCGGUCCCUAUCUGCCGUGGGCGCUGGAGAACUGAGGGGGGCUGCUCCUAGUACGAGAGGACCGGAGUGGACGCAUCACUGGUGUUCGGGUUGUCAUGCCAAUGGCACUGCCCGGUAGCUAAAUGCGGAAGAGAUAAGUGCUGAAAGCAUCUAAGCACGAAACUUGCCCCGAGAUGAGUUCUCCCUGACCCUUUAAGGGUCCUGAAGGAACGUUGAAGACGACGACGUUGAUAGGCCGGGUGUGUAAGCGCAGCGAUGCGUUGAGCUAACCGGUACUAAUGAACCGUGAGGCUUAACCUUACAACGCCGAAGGUGUUU
rnacentral:rRNA from 1 species